UUGACAAUCUUAUCGUGAAGGCAUACUUUCAGGAGUGAGGGUAGAGCGGGGUUUCCCCCGCCCUAGUAGUCUUAGUAUGCUGGGUAGCUAAUCACUAAGAGCACCACGAUGAUGAGUAGCUUCAUCAUGACCCUUUCCUUAUU
rnacentral:sRNA from 1 species